AUGGGAAAUAGUAAUAAAUAUGUGGGCCUUUAAUAACAGCAGUUAGCUUUAGUGAUGUUUUAGUAAGUGCAAACCAUUUUGCAUAGCUUAAGUAGCACGUGCAGAGUACCUUUAUGGCCGCCAUACUUGAAGUACCAUAAAGUAACGGUGCCCUGUUUGAAGGUGGCAGCUAUGGAAGGAGAUAAGAAGGACCUGGUCUCUUAGAUGUGGCAGCCACUGCUUGGUGAUGCAGCACCUUGUUUGAAUUCAGCAUCCUGGUUCUGUCACAUAACAACUGUGGGAUCUUGGCAAAACCUGUCUUAACCAGGUUAAAUGUAGGUUAUUUCUUCAAAAGGGAUUAGGGACUCUUCAUGCAACUCAUUGUUAUCAUUCAUUCUAGCAGAGUGUCUCUGAGAUCCUUCCACAGAAGUAUGUGGAUCAUUUACCUGGAACUGCCGGUCAAAGAGGAAAAAAGACAUUAAAUGGACAAAUAGAAGUUCCUGGUAUACAGGAAUGAGUGGAGCCACACGCUGUUCCUAGGACUGAGGUCAUGGGAUGGAAUGCAUACGUGGAUUUCCUUCAGUACCUUCUACCCUACAGUAACACUGUUUAGUCACGACCCUCUUACUCAAGAUACGGAUUGUCUUCUGGCCUUGUGACGAUUGUUAUUCUUUGUUAUUCCCUUGGUAACGGUUGUUCUAUGUCUGGUUUUUGUUCUUUCCUUAACUUUAUUUUUUUGCCUAAACCUUCCUUCUAUAACAAUAUAUAAACUCACACAAACAUGAAUAAUUCACCCUUGUUCCACUAGAGACUUGGGUCCCCCGUGUCCUUCUUUCUGUCUCUGGCUAGGUCUUUGGAGUAUGGAGUCCUGCCGAGCUCACUUUCCUGCCCAGGCUUUCAAGACCUCCUUGAGAAGGAUGCCCUGUGUCUUAGUGAGCAGUACUAGCCCUAUUCUAGGGCUUUAUUGGUUUUCCAUUAACCCAGGGAAUAUUAGUCUCUCUCUUUUGCUUUCUUUUCGUUGACUCCGGUCCACCAGGCCCCAGUCUGUAAAGAAGACCACAGGUAGGGAUGAUCCAUAGAAAGGAUGUCAAGGGGGAAGAUUUAAGUCCACAGAUCUAGAGAUUACCAUUUAGAGAGGAGAGAAUCUAGUGAAAGGACAAAGGGAGGAAAAGAAGACCGUAGGGAGGUGAGUUUGGAGUUGAUGAGGACACUUGAGAGAACGCCUUCUAGAUGACUUCAGUGUAUUUACCCUGAAAAGAGAUAAAAUCAUUAUUGCUCCAGAGAAUCCUGGAGCUGGGAGGGGGUGCUAGAAGUGGAGGAAACUGCAGCCCCUCUGAGUAACUCUUAGGCAUCAAAGAUAUAUGUUGUACUGGUAUUUGUUAUUCAAAUCAGAUUAAUUUGUAAAAGGAGGCAUUGACUUUUUUUAAUAAAGAUAGCUGAUUCUUUGAAAGUUGUUUCAUAGAAAUCCUCUGAAGCAUUAGCAAGAUAUACCAAACCAAACUAAAUUUUGAAGCCAAACAGAUUAAUAAGAUUCAUUCCCUAAAUGUAGAAAUACUUUUAAUAAAUACUACACUGAUUUUGAAACAUGC
ensembl:lncRNA